GACGAACGCUGGCGGCGUGCCUAAUACAUGCAAGUCGAACGCAGUGGGGACGGGUGAGUAACACGUGGGUAACCUCCCAUCAGAGGGGGAUAACACUUGGAAACAGGUGCUAAACCGAUACUGAUGGAUGAACCCGCGGUGCAUUAGCUAGUUGGUGGGGUAACGGCUCACCAAGGCCACGAUGCAUAGCCGCCCGGAGAGGGUGUACGGCCACACUGGGACUGAGACACGGCCCAGACCCCUACGGGAGGCAGCAGUAGGGAAUCCUCGUCAAUGGACGAAAGUCUGAACGAGCAACGCCGCGUGAGUUAAGAAGGUUUUCGGAUCGUAAAACUCUGUUGUUAGAGAAGCGGUAUCUAACCAGAAAGCCACGGCUAGCUACAUGCCAGCAGCCGCGGUAAUAC
rnacentral:rRNA from 1 species